rnacentral:rRNA from 1 species
CGCCUCUUGCUAAACAAGAAUAAGAGGUCCCGCCUGCCCUGUGACUUAAUGUUUAACGGCCGCGGUAUUUUGACCGUGCAAAGGUAGCGCAAUCACUUGUCUUUUAAAUAAAGACCUGUAUGAAUGGCAUAACGAGGGCUAAACUGUCUCCUUAACUUUAUCAAUGAAAUUGAUCUCCCCGUGCAGAAGCGGGGAUUAUUACAUAAGACGAGAAGACCCUGUGGAGCUUUAAGCAAAAUUGAAUUAUUAAAAGAUAUAUUAAAGUAUAUAAAUAAAAUAAAAAUCAUAUAUGCUUUUAGUUGGGGCGACCACGGAGUACUAAAAAACCUCCAUGAGGAUUGAGAAAAUCCCUUAAAACUAAGAAAAACACUUCAAAGUAUUAAAAUAUUUAACCUAAAGAUCCGGUAACACCGAUUAACGAAACUAGUUACCCCAGGGAUAACAGCGCAAUCCUUUUUAAGAGCCCAUAUCGACAAAAGGGUUUACGACCUCGAUGUUGGAUCAGGAUACCCCAAUGGUGUAGCAGCUAUUAAAGGUUUGUUUGUUCAACAAUUAAAAUCCU